UCCUCCUCCUUCUCGUCCUCCUCCUCCUCCUCUCAGGCUGUGGUUUUUCUGUAUAUGUUUCUGGAGUCCUGAGCCCGAGCUAAACAAAAGCAGGAGGCUGACGGGGCUGCUGGAGUUUGCAGAGACACGGAGGAGGAGAGAGCCUGUGCUUUGCCUGCCGCCGCGGCUGGGGGAGAUCUGGCUUUUGCAACAGCCCACCCCCUUUGAGAUCACUCUGGCCCGGAGUGGGGGUGGGGGGCAGCGGGGGGUGGGGGGGAAAGUUUGCAUUGCAAUCCCCCUGCCUUCCUCUCCUUUCUCCCGAUCAAUGCAUAUUUGCAAAAGGAUUAAGCCACAGAUUUAAGCGCCGGGAGCCCAUUUCUGCCUUGCAAAGGAGACCGGACUGAAAAACCAAAAGCCAGCUCUGAUUUCUUUUCGCCAAGUGGGAAGGUGGUUUAUUUUUCUUGCUUUUUGGAGUCAACACCCUUCCCCACCAGCCCUUAUCCCCACCCUCACCCCGCAACCCCUUUACGCCCCCGCCCCCUCCCCUCUCCCCAUCCUCCCACCAUCCUCCAAAGAGGCAAAGGGUUUUUUUUUUUCUUUUUUUCUUUUGGUCUUCUUUUUUUUUUUUUCCUCCCCCCCUUUCCCUGUUUAUCCUGAAAAGGAUUCGAAGACAAGCUUGAAGGAUAAAAAGCCUUGGUGCUUCCCGGGAGCCGAGCCGAGGAGCAGCAGAGGAAGAGCCGGGGGCUGCCGUAGCCUUCGGAGAUGGACGAGCAGCCCAGGCUGAUGCAUUCCCACGCUGGGGUCGGGAUGGCCGGGCACCCCGGCCUGUCCCAGCACUUGCAGGAUGGGGCCGGAGGGACCGAGGGGGAGGGCGGGAGGAAGCAGGACAUUGGAGACAUUUUACAGCAAAUUAUGACCAUCACAGACCAGAGUUUGGAUGAGGCGCAGGCCAGAAAACAUGCUUUAAACUGCCACAGAAUGAAGCCUGCCUUGUUUAAUGUGUUGUGUGAAAUCAAAGAAAAAACAGGUAGGAAUGAGAUUUUAACAUUUUAGCAUUUUCUUUGGCCAAUUGAAUCACUUCACCAGCAAUCAUGAACCUGUUAUUUAAAUAUUAUAAUUUCAGAAUGAAAAUAUUAUCAAGAUUGACCGCAUAUUCCAAUAGGAAGUCCUAGUCCUGCUUUCUUUUAAAGAAAGUGUCAAGUUUCUUUGACAGUUAUUAUCAAGCAUUACUGGUUUAUUUUCCUUAACUCUAUUUCCAGCCUAUUUGAAAUUCAGGCUAAAAUCUAUGUUCUGAAGGGAAAUUUAUAGAAUGGUGUGUCUUUGGAAGGAAAAAUAUGAAAGUAAAAGUUCAUUUCCUGAAGAAAUAUAUUUUGGCCUACAUUUAAAACCCUGAUUUUUUUGGAAUUGGGCAAGGGUGGGGGUCCUAAACUGUUUACAGUUUCCUUUCCUUUUUUUUCCUGUAAUUACAAGAAAACAGCAGACUAAAGGUUCUCUAAAGAGAGUGUUGUCAAAUACCUUUGUGGAAAGCGCUAUACAACAUUAAGUUAUUGGUAUUUGAGUGGCCUGUGAUUUUAUAGCAGGGAGAAUCGUUGGGUUUAGGAGAGUAUGAUGCCAUUAGAUCACUCACUCUGUUGUUUUUCUACUUUCUAGACCUCAUAUCAUGGACUAACACACUUAUAACACAUCCCAGGAGGGCAUUUAAAUUUUAAAGCAACAAUUAAAAAAUAGCAGUCAUCAAUCAGAGGUGUUCUUAAACAACAGAUGCUCUGGGAAGGACAUUUAGCGAGAUCCUCUUGUUUGUUUAUUUUAAUCCUUAAUUUUCCAAAGUGGGUAAAUCUCUCCCUUGUAAGAAGAAAGAUUUGAGAAGGCAAUCUGAAACCAGAGCAUAAAGAUGAGGGACAGGGCUUGGUUAUAUAAAGCGGAGCUUCUGCUGCACUCUUACUCGCUCGCUUUAGACCAGUGCAAAGUACCUGACAUCCUCUUUAUUUAUUUAUUUUUUACAACAAGGAGUGUAACAGUCAAUAAUUCAUAUCUAAACCAUAUAAGCAAGGGCAUGACAUGAAUGAAAGUGACAAUAAAUAUGAUUGCAUGCCCAGUUGAUAUACAUUGAUAGUUACACAUAAAAAAGCGGGGGGUGUGUGGGGGGUAGAGGGCACGCAGGGUGGCUUUCUUUUUGAGAGCUCUCUGUUUCUCUUUUCAAAAAUAAAUAGUUUCAAGAUGUGACUGUUGAUCGAAUAUGUAAUUACUCGGGUCUUGAAAUGCAUAUAAAAUUAGUAAGCAGCUCCUUUGUUGAAUGUUAUUUGUGUUGUGCAUAGCAUCCUAGACAAAGCACCUGAGAAGUGAUAUUCAGACCUUUAAGUCUUCCAGGUUGCCUUGCCAAAGCUUAACCUUUAUUGCAGAGCUGUUACUUGCAUUAUUUUAGCUGUGAGACAUGCUUUAAGAGAUUUGUGGAUUGUGUGUACAAAUAUCAAAAGAGCUUUUUUUCAGUUGGUCACACUUUUUAGGAUUUUUAUUUUCUAUUAGCCCAGAGAUGGAAACCUAGGUGUAUAUAUUAUUUUUUCUCUUUUUUUCUUUUCUUUUUUUUUCCUUCUUUGAUCUCUGAUGCUUAUUUACUUUGCAUAUUUGGUUCCUUGAAAUUUGUUUCUAAUUUGAGUAUGAGUUCCUGCUGAUCUUGGUUCAUAAAAGGUAGGCUCAAAAUAUAAAAGCAUAUGUGAUAAUCCGGACUAAAGAGAGUCUAUUUUUAAAGACACUAUCAGAUUUUUAUUGAAAGGAAGCCCGUGAGUGCACUUAAAUGUACAUUGUGGUCAAAGUGUUUAAUUCUAGUUUCCUAAUUAAAACCUACUGAGGCAGUAGAUCAAAGUAGGUGGGGGUGAAUAGAGAUCCGGUUCAGGUGUGGAUUAGAGUUUGCUCCUUAUUCGUGCUGGGUAAAGUAUGGUGAUAGGAAGCAGUCGUAUUGGGCAAAAUAACAUUCUAAAAGUGUAAUUUAUGGUUGGAUUUCAUAUUUUGUUGUUUGACUUUUAUGCCAACACAUUUAACGUUUGGAGAUUUUUGGAUUUUUUAAAUAGCAAUUAAGUUUUUCUUUGUUGUCUCAAAUAAUAUAUUUUAAAAAAUAGUUUAUCAAAUAAUGUAAGUGGAAAGCGAUAAGACUCAUUGCCCCCUUUGUAGGGAGGAAACACACAGACACACGUACACACACACACACACUUGUGCACACAUUCAGUUUGGAUUGAGAGGGUACCUUUGGGUGAAAGUAGAAAAGAAAAAAAAAAAAAAAGGCCUUUCUCUUAUUCUUCCACUUGUGAGUUGGAAGGAUUGAGGGGAAGGAAGAAACCUCUCCUGGAAUGUUGAGUGUUGUGUUAAAGGUAGGAGUCUACCGAGGUGUGUUGAAAAGAACUCUUUGAUUCUAAAGCGCGAUUACUUCCUUACUCAGGAUCUGCGGAGCCCUCAUUCUACGUGCCAGCAUAUCUUCCAUGCAGUUGAUGUGUCAUGCAUGUGUCAUGCAUGUGUCGCAGAAACAAAGUGUCUGUAAAGUUGCAGGAGCUUCCCCCUCCCAUUGAUACAGAGCUGGUGAAAAGAUCACUUGAAUGAUCAGUUCACAUACAUUCCUUAAUUGUUUGAGGACUUUUCCUAUUGUUACUUUCAAGCCUCCUUGCAUUUAAUGAGUGUUUUUGAGCUUCCAUCUCAAGUAUUAUAGAGGUUCCUUGAUUUAGGUUGGGCUUUGUUUGUUUGUAUUCUAACAUGGAAGUUCACACAUUUGGCUCACCUAGGGAGAACUCUAGAGAGGAGCUUGGUAAUUGCAUUCAUUUGUUGCCUUUUUUUUUUUUUUUUUGCUUUUGUGCUUUUGCUAACGAUUUUAUAGUUGGAAGACUUAGAAGUAAGUAAAUAGGAAAACUGGCUAAGAAUGUCUUAUCAACCUUUUGGAACUUUAAACACACACACACACACACACACACAAAACACCCCAAAUAGGCAGCACUGUCUAAAUUGCAGUUGAUUGAUGGGUAUUUAAGUCAGAAAUUACUGUGGGGAUAUUAAAAAAAAAAAAGGAGUACCCAUGUGUCUUCUUGCUUCAACGUGUGGGUAAGUUUUUAUUUUGCUACCUUUUUGCUUUUAUAUAUAAAUGCUAAGGAAAAAGAAUGCCAGCAAAAUGCUUGAGUGACAAAUCUCAAACAGCAGCAAGAAAAGCCCUGUUAAGACCUACAGUAAUGUAUUUCAGAUGUAGCUUUUAUCUGUUUGCUCAUUCUGGGAAUACAGAGACUUAAUUAGAGUUUUGGACCAUUUAAUAGCACAUUUUAUUUUGGAUUUUAAGAAUCAUUGUUUGUCUUCUGACAUGUUAGCAAUAGGCUGAGUUUUACAUAUGCAUAUAUGUGGUAGUAAUGGGGUUGAUGGGAUGGAAGAUAAGGAGAAGAAAAUUCAGGUAUAUUACAUUUCUUUAAAAAAAACCUUGAAUGUAUUUUUAAACAUUUUUCUCUUUUUUAACUUUUAUGUCAAAAUCAUGCAGGUUUAAAAAUUAGGAAAACACACAAAAUAUUGGGUGCCAUUUACUAAGGAGAAUAUUUAUAGAUAGCAAUGAAUAGCUGCAAUUGUUGUGAAUAGUCUUUAAUUUUAGAACGUUAUAGCUAUAUAUGGCACUUUUCAGCCAGUUUCCCUCUGUGCAUUGUCUGCACUGAAGUUAAAUCAAAUCAUCGGAGGAGGUAAAAAAAAAAAUUAUUUUUUGCUUCCUUAAUACCCUUUUGUUCUCUCUCUUUCCUUUGCUCUCUGUGUUCAAUUAACACCCCCAUCACAGAACUGUAGUGUGUGUGUUUUUUUAAGUCUACUACUGUAUUUCACUUUUGACACCUUCCCUUUAUUAUUCUCGCCUGCCACUUCUUUUUAAUAUAGCAAUUACAUUAUAGGACUUCUACUUCUCUCCUCUCUGCUUUAGAGCAUUAGAGAAUAAUUUGUGUGUCUGUGUAUACGUGUGUGUCUUCGCAUGUAUAGGUGGGGGGGGCAUUAUUGAAGGAAGCUGUAGGAUUGUAGGGAAAUAAUUCUGAUGGUAUUAGGCCUUGAACAGAACAAGAGUGAAAUAACUUUAGACAAUUUAGAGCAGCCUCUGAUCAGAUUCUUUCAGGGGUUGCAGUGGCAGGACUGAUUUUCAUAGAAGCCCAUUCAUAGCUGGCAAAUGCAAAAACUUUUUUCUUGCUGAUGAGAAAAUUAAAGAAUUUGGUCCUUUUUGUUUUGUUUUUUGCAGUGAAAAGAGCUGGUAGAAGGGGCCGAGGAGAGAAAAGGGGGGGCAAAUGAAGGGAAACUACAAGUCAGUUUUACCUGAUACUACCUAUCAGGCACCCCAGUGUGUUAAGGCAGAAGUAAUGUGGUUAGAUUCUGUAUUAUUUAUUAUGACCUGGGUAUAAGCUAUAGACUUACAAUAAUAUGGCUCUAACAGACAACAUACAAGAUGAACUGUGACAAGAAAUGUCCCUCCUCUCCUGUCACUUUUGUGUACUCCAUUUUUAGUCUACUCCUUGAAUUAGAAAAAUUCUGACUUUUCGGAAGUGGAAAAGGAGGGUGCAAAGAACAGUGUGGUCAUACCUACUAGAAUGAGAUUUUUGGAAAUUUGGUGCGGUGUGUUCCAACAAUGGGGGAUAUCUGUGAGGAUUGGAAACGAGGAAGAUUUAGGUUACACUGAGAAAUCUGGAAGUGGAUUUGCGAGAGGGGAAAUGUGUAGAGAAAUCUGCAACCCAGGGGCUGUAGGGUGUUGAGCUGGGAGGAGUGAGGGUGUGGGUUCCAAGUUGGGCAGCAGGCUGCGCUCUGGGCUGAGAGGGGGGCAUUACUUGCUUGUGUAUUUAGCUGACUGCUGGUGCCAGGCCUUUUCUCAUGCUUUUGCUCCUGUGUUCUGUUGACAUCAUGAACUUUUUAUUGUUGUUGUUGGCAAAACUACGAAAAUACACCCAAACAAGCAAACAAACCAAAACCUAGAUAUUGAACCUAUUUAAAUAGGAAGACGUUUUCAUUUUUAAUUUAAGAUGUAACCCUGGCUUCUUUUGAGACAUAGUUUACAUGCAUGCUUAGGAAAGCUUGUCCUUAGAUUUUGGUUUCAAACCUCUUUUAGAUGGAUACUGUUAUAUUUGAACCUGGUGAAGUGAAUCUAAAUAUACUUUUGUUGCUUUUCCUUUAAAAAAUUCACUGAAAGUGCCACGUGAUCCUAGGUUCAGCUCUAAAGACAGCUCCAUUUUCAUAUGACCCUGAGAAGUACCCAUUCGUUUGUAGUGCCAUAUUAACCUGGGUUAGAGGAUAUAAUAAUUUUGACUCCGUUGCCUCUUACUUGCAAUGGUGUGGUGAGAUUUAAGGAAUGUAAUAAUUGAUGAAUAAAAUAAAUAGAGGAUUAAUGAGUUCUUUGCAAAGUAUUUUGAGCUCUCUGUGCUAUAUAAAUAAAAGAUGCUGUAUUUUCUAUAAAAAUUACCUCAGGAUUCAUAUUUUAUUUCAUUUCACAGGAUGUGAAUGCAUUAACUCUUUCAGGCCAAAAAUCCCAUACAUCUACUGGUCAAUAAUUAAAUAAUGGGGUGGUCAGUCAUUUCUCAUGAGGAAAAUUCUCUGGUUGCAUUUUUGCCCCAUCUGCAUCUCAGAGAUGUCACUUCUCAGAACUUGGCAGAAUGAUUCCCAGAAAAAAAAAAAAA